GACGAACGCUGGCGGCGUGCUUAACACAUGCAAGUCGAACGGAAAGGCCCUGCUUUUGUGGGGUGCUCGAGUGGCGAACGGGUGAGUAACACGUGAGUAACCUGCCCUUGACUUUGGGAUAACUUCAGGAAACUGGGGCUAAUACCGGAAAGGAGCUCCUGCUGCAUGGUGGGCGUUGGAAAGUUUCGGCGGUUGGGGAUGGACUCGCGGCUUAUCAGCUUGUUGGUGGGGUAGUGGCUUACCAAGGCUUGGACGGGUAGCCGGCCUGAGAGGGUGACCGGCCACAUUGGGACUGAGAUACGGCCCAGACUCCUACGGGAGGCAGCAGUGGGGAAUAUUGCACAAUGGGCGGAAGCCUGAUGCAGCAACGCCGCGUGCGGGAUGACGGCCUUCGGGUUGUAAACCGCUUUCGCCUGUGACGAAGCGUGAGUGACGGUAAUGGGUAAAGAAGCACCGGCUAACUACGUG
rnacentral:rRNA from 1 species